CCUCAGACUCAAGUGUGUCUGCAACAGAGCGGUUCCCAAGCAAAACAGACGGAGCAAAGACACAAUGAAAAUAUGAUUCAUUAAGACUGUGGUGUUUAUUUUCAUAAAUCAACAUUCAUCUAAUUUAUACAUUAACAUUUAUACCGUGCAACUGUUGACGUGUGGAUCAAAUAUGCUUGGAAGCAUGCUUAACACUUUCCCUGCCAGCGUUUUUUAAAAGAGUUGCCACCCAGCUUUAGUUAAACAUUAAUGCCUUCCAGAAAAAUGUUCUUCUUUAGAUAUAUAAACAUACAAUAUAUCAAAUGAAAGAACAGACCCUCUGCUUUCAAACAACAAAAUAAAAACGUUUCACCCUACCUUCAAUUGUUCUUUUAUCCUCUCAAAUUUUGAGCAAAAUGUUGGGAUAAUUCCAUUUCUGUGAAUGACUUUUGUUAGAGAUCCGAUUCAGAUCGCUGAUCAAAAAAUACACUUGAGUUUUAAAGUGUUGAGUGAAAGCAUCAGUGUUUAUGUUGUGUAAGAUCGCCACCACUGAUCAGUGAUCGCCACCCAGUGGAUAAUAUACGGUACAACUACUCCUCACGGAAGCAUUAACAAGAAAACUCAACAAUAUUUAUUGACACUUAUCUGGAUAUCGCCAUUAAUUGUUCAAUUGUUGAGGAUUAUAAUUAAUACAAUAUAAUAUAAUUAGCCCACCCAAUAAAUCAAAAUUGACAACAAAAUCCGACAUUUUGACAGUUAUUUUCUACAGUACACAACAACAGUGGCGCAGUGAUACAAGCUAUGUAAUACGGUUUGAGCCGUGGGUUUACCGGUGAGUUUUAUCACAGCUGAGAACGCGUUUCAACCAAUCAGAAUGAAGAACCAGAACUGGCCGUUUUAUAAUUAUUUAUAUAGAAUAGCAAUUCACUGCGUAUGUCUAGAUAUGUAUUCUAUGUCAUGAGUCUGUCUAUGAUGUUAGAGGGUAUGUUUUGUUAAUUGUGGUAUUUCCUGUUGUUAGUGUAAACAGGAGUUUGUGUUGAUUUCUUUCAUUGCUGUGAUGUCUGACUUAUGUUAAUUCAUAGUUAAAUGUUUUGUUGUGUCAUUAAGCACUGUUGGUGACCUGGUAAGGGACUACAGGUGUAAAAUAGCAUGGGGGCUAAUUCUGGCAUAUUCAUAUGGCUGAAAAGCUAUUAUGUUUCCUUAAUAUUUAUUGUCCCUUUUAAAUAAAUAAAAAUAAAUUUAAAAAAAACUGGUGAGAUGUUUACAGAUUAUUUCCAGAUAUAAAGUUGAUGGUUUUGUACUUUUGGUUGGGGAGAUCCAUCAUUCCAUCCAUCCGUAUAGCUAAGAAUCCUUGACAAUUCAUUUAAGAAUUUUAACAACAGUUAAAAAUUGUGCCAUUACAACAAAUGAUACAUGUACAUGACUUUAUAUAAACAUCCAGUAAUAAACAACUGUCUGAAGUGUUACUGUAAGUGGUAGCUUCAACUAGACAAAAGACAUCCCUUGUGUUGUUAUGCUCAUGGCAAGCUGUCUGACAGAGGUCAUGUCUGCAGCAGACUCCAUCUCUGUCACAGAGAUGCUCUGUGACAUAAGUCAAAAAAGCAAAGAAAAACAAAACAAACUCUGACAAAUAGAAGAGAGACGUUUGCUGUGUUCACUGCUGAGGCUAUGUGAGCAUUUUUAGUGACAAGAGCCAGACUGGUUUAGAAAAUCAACAGAAGGAAAGCAGACAGAAUGGAGCUCCCUUUUAGAAACAGUAGCCGUGUUUGCACUAUCGGGCUUCAAGCGGGCGUGCCAGUGCCUGCCGAGGCCUGUGGCGUUUGCAUUGUCACUUCCGGGGCAUGAUCGUGCUUCACUGGUGCUUCGUUGGGGCUUAAGGCCCGGCUUUUCUGGCCCGCCGAAUUCCUUGGGCCAGAGCGGGCUUCUCGGGGCUAGGGGAGUGGUAAAGGUCAAAGGCGGAGUUUAUCUGAGUCUCUGGCAAGAUGCGCAUCCAUCUGUCUGCAGAUUUAAAACUUUAAAAAUAAUCGGGAUCACCAGUAAUUUACUGUUUAACGGAAGAUGCCUGCUAUGUUUGUACUUCGGACUGAAGAAAAUGAUCUGCAUAUGUAAAAAACAAAGACGCGUUACAACGCCGAACUCGCCACGCUAAGGAUCCGGCGCACACAGCUACCGGUUCGGGAGAAGUUUAUAAAGUUUCGGGCACAGAACAAAGUGUUUAAAGUGCAACAGUGCUGAGAAAUUAAAGAUGUGUGUUGGAUCAUCAUUUCAUCGUCCAUGUUUUAAAGAAGCGAUCACUCGAGUCACGAUGGUAUCUACAGUCGAAAAAAUGCCAACGUAAAGCUUUCAGUUUGUCAUCCAGGAGUUUUUAUUUUGUAUAUGAGAGAUGACACAGCAACAGAUGAAAGAGCAGGAGAUGAAACGAAGAUGAUGAUGAUGAUGAUGAGACGACAGGAGCCAUGGAUGUUGAAAUCCGUCCGGAGAAGAUGUCUUUAAAUACACCUGUUUGUGCACUGAUAUAAACUUCAUAUGUAAAUAAAGUACCGCGCUAUUAUUA